ACCGACAUUAUGAGGUCGGGUUAUUUAAUUAAAAAUAUUAUAAAUUAUUUUUAAUAAACCGACCUCAUGAGGUCGGUAUUAUUUUAAGUUAAAAAUAAAAUAAUUAAAUAUACCGACCUCACGACGUCGGUGUAACUAGUCAAAUAAAAUUAAAAUCAGACCCAAACCCUUGUUUUUCCCAUUAUUCUAUCUUUUCCUUUCACCAUUUCUCUCCCCCUUUCUCUCUUAACCCUAAUAACGUCAUCACCAUCAUUCCUGCUAGUCACCGUCGCCGCCGUCCCUACCCAGUACCGUCGUUGUUGUCGCCGUCCAUGGCCAACCAUUUGAGAAAAGGGCAAGCGAAGAAGGAGCCAACAUGGAGGGUUUUUUCUCUGAAGGAGUUGCACUCUGCUACAAAUAAUUUUAAUUAUGAUAACAGGAUUGCAGAAGGUGGUUUUGGAAGUGUUUAUUGGGGCCAGUUCUGGGAUGGAUCUCAGGUAAUGAACUGUUAUAAUAGACCAACAGUGAAUGUCUUCUUGCUUAUUGAUUUAGGAAAAAACAAGUAGUAUAUGUUUUCUACUUGUUAGCGAUUGGAGCAAUUAUAUGAAACAUUAUGUAGAGUUGCUUGAACAAUAUUGAUACACUUGAGUCUAUUCCUAUAGCUUUAAUUUAAAGUCACGGUUAGUUUCCCAUACAAAGAGUUGGAUCAUGGUCAUUCACUUGGAUUUAGGGAUCUCAGAGGAAGCUUUUCAAGGUUUGAACAAUAGAUUUAAAAUUAUCUAUCUUUUUGAUUUACUUUUUUUUUUUUAUAAGCUUCCUCUUUGAUUUACUUAAUAAAAUCAUUCAUGAGGGAUAUCAUGCAGUGACAUAAUAAAAAUGAAUUUUGAGUAUAGCAUUGAUUUGUUUUUUUUCUUCACAAUGCAACAAAAUCCUGCAGCAUGUAGAUAAGCCAGUUCCAAAUGCAACCUUGCAAGUCACUGGUGCGGUCGGUUGGCGCAGGGAGGGUCUUGCUUUCCCGACUGCCAUUGGGGAAGUUAUUUUCCUCAUUUUUAAGGAACUUGUUUUCUAAAGAAAGUGUUUUCCAAAACAUCU